AGCGAACGCUGGCGGCAGGCCUAACACAUGCAAGUCGAACGAAGUCUUCGGACUUAGUGGCGGACGGGUGAGUAACACGUGGGAACGUACCUUUUGGUUCGGAACAACUCAGGGAAACUUGAGCUAAUACCGGAUGAGCCCUUAGGGGGAAAGAUUUAUCGCCGAAAGAGCGGCCCGCGUUAGAUUAGCUAGUUGGUGAGGUAAAGGCUCACCAAGGCUACGAUCUAUAGCUGGUCUGAGAGGAUGAUCAGCCACACUGGGACUGAGACACGGCCCAGACUCCUACGGGAGGCAGCAGUGGGGAAUCUUGCGCAAUGGGCGAAAGCCUGACGCAGCCAUACCGCGUGAAUGAUGAAGGUCUUAGGAUUGUAAAAUUCUUUUACCAGGGACGAUAAUGACGGUACCUGGAGAAAAAGCCCCGGCUAACUUCGUGCCAGCCGCCGCGGUAA
rnacentral:rRNA from 1 species